rnacentral:rRNA from 1 species
CAGUAGCCGCGGUAAUACGUAGGUGGCAAGCGUUGUCCGGAAUUAUUGGGCGUAAAGGGCUCGCAGGCGGUUUCUUAAGUCUGAGGUGAAAGCCCCCGGCUCAACCGGGGAGGGUCAUUGGAAACUGGGAAACUUGAGUGCAGAAGAGGAGAGUGGAAUUCCACGUGUAGCGGUGAAAUGCGUAGAGAUGUGGAGGAACACCAGUGGCGAAGGCGACUCUCUGGUCUGUAACUGACGCUGAGGAGCGAAAGCGUGGGGAGCGAACAGGAUUAGAUACCCGUGUAGUCCCUGUCUCUUAUAC